GGCUGGAGGCCUUCUCAACACACCUAGCGACCGUUCUGAGACACCCACUGAUGAUCGGUGGCUGAUCGCAAAGCUCGCUGGAGCCCCGCUGGUGACUCCAUGGGACAAGCUGAAGAUCUCAGACGACGCGGUGGGCUUCCUGUCGCCCCCCAAGAAGCGUUCAGAAGCUACAUCGUUGUCGAGCCCGACCUCGACACUGGUGGCUGCCUGGUCCCCUCAGGCGGUGACUGCACCGCCGCUGAAAACGCGCAAGGCAUCCCAGGAGCUAAUCUGCAUCUGAAACUAGCGGUGCCUGUGUUCCGGUUGCUUAUCUUUGUAGUGGCUUUUAGCCGUCGUUUUCUUCUUUUCUGAACUGCUCCCCUUAGUGAGCUUAUGUAAUAACUGAAUCUGAUCUGAACUUGGUUUCAUUAAUAUAAUGGAACCGGGGAAAAGAUUCCCUGUUCUUCAAAAAAUAUCUGUUGCCACUACAAAUUCCAAUUCCCGCACGUCCGAGGUGAGGAAGAAGAGAAGAGGAGAUAGGGGCGUCUCCUAUUUCCUGCCACUGUUUUGCAAGUGGAUAUAAGGCUAUGGCCCCUUGCUCCAGGCCCGCUGUCCACGGCAGCCAGGGGCUCUCCCAUCGGUGGUGGCUGCCCAUCACUCAGACCUCCUAUUUCUCGCCGGCGGGUGAGCUGAUUUGGGGGCUGCUGCUUGACUGCUUGACUGCUUGAGGCCUAGGCUGCCUCUGCAGGCACAAUACAGUAAUGUUUGAUGAGCAGCAAUAGCACCAGUCAGGCAUUGCCAGCCGCAGAGAGAAUAUCACCCAUACAGAAGCAUGCCUUUCUCUGUUUGUCCAUGGCAUUUCUUUAAAAAAAAUCUCGGACUGGGUUAUCCUCAGAUGUAAAAUCAGAAAGAAAGUCACGAGUAAGAAACUAAAUUUGAUGAGGGAGGAGAAAUCACAGUUGGUAGUUAUCACAUAUUGAUCUCUCUAACAUUGCAGAUAUGCAAAUUUUCAAGACAAUACGUCUUUUAUAGCUUUCAGAAUUUUUCGUUCACCAAAUCAGUACUCGACCAGUCCACCUUAUUAACAUUACAAUCACCGUUAUCGCUAUUAUGUUCCAAUAUUUUGCGCUGGAGGAUUUAUUCCAAAAAUAAUCUCAUAUAUGUGCAUUCAGAAAAAAGCAAAGUCAAGUCUGAAGAUAUGACUGAAUUCUGAACCUAUCUGAGGGGUGAACUGGUGACAAAUCUGGAGGCGAUUCUGUAGUUAAAAGUAGUCUUGAUUCGUAUUUAGGUUAUACCUGUAGACCUCUUUAAGGAUAAUAAAUAAUUGAGGCGGAGCUGCAUAUGGCUAUCUUAUUUCUGACCGUCAGACUUCUAUUUGGGUUGUCAUUUACAUAACUAACAUGGGCUACGAUGCAUGUGCAAUGGGCUACUCAUCUGCAUUUUGUCUUUACUUUGGUGAUUCUUCUACUCCCUCCGAUCCAUAAUAAGUGUCAUGGUAUUAAAUCAAAUUUAAACUAACACCAAGACACUUAUUAUGGAUCAGAGGGUGAACUAAAACCACGACACUAAUUAUAGAUUGGAGGGAACAUUAUUUUCUACCUUGCUCGGUCAAGAUAUAAUUCUACUUUCAUUCUGCUUGCCUUUAAUAAUAUACUUUACAACAUAGUUGUGUUGUACAUGAUGAUAGUUGAUGCCAUCAUAGAUACUACACCAUACGGAUUCACCACUGUCUUAGCUAUGCUAUGCUCUACAGAUAAUGAGCAAAGUAGUUGCCUUAGUAACAUCAUUUUUUGUUGGCUCAUGUCAUUAUCAGUUGCAUGUUCUCAGUUUACAAUUCCUUUUUCAGUUUAUAUAUGUAUGCAUACACCCAGUUUGCACAUUCCACUAUCCAAAUUUUCUUAAGUACUUGUACCCUACAGAUCUUAACAAAUAUUUGUAUCGCUGUUUUGUCAUGGUUGAGCAUGGAAACAUGUGACUUUGAUGAUCUUACAACACCAGAUUUACGUUUCAUGGUAUUAUCCUAUGGAAAACAAUUGUUGCUUUGUGUUUAUUCAGAAAGUUAAAGUUAUUACUUUUCUUAAUUUUCUAAUGACUUGACAUUUAAUGUAACUAUGAAUACAUGAAAAAUACCAUAUCAUUCUAUUGAACAAAGGAAUGGGCGCAGCAACGCGCGCCAUCAUUCAUCUAGUUUGUGUUUAGAGUUGUGUUGUGAUAUCAUCCCGUGAGUCUCUGAUCUUGGUCGUACACAUUUGCGUGCAUGAUUAGUGUACGAUUGAAUCGGGGGCAUCACGCCUGCUGCCUCGCCUUCCUCCACAGGCAAUUGCACAGUUUGCCAGACUUUGGGGUGAUGUCGCGAGAGUGCGGUUGCGGCAUGAUACGGCUGACUCAAUGACUUGGAGGUGGACGACCAACGGCAUGUUCUCUUCUACUACCGCCUAUGCUGCGCAAUUCGAGGGGGGCACUCGCUUCAACGGACAACAGCUGCUUUGGUUAGCUGACGCGUCGCUCAAGUGGUGUAUCUUUGCGUGGCUUACGAUUCUGGGUAAAUGCCUGAUGGCAAAAAACUUAAGAAGGGAUGGCCUCGCGAUCCGGUUUGUUGCCUGUGCCGCACGGCGGACGAGGACUCUCCUUCACAUGUUGGCUCGCUGCCCCUUUGUCCAAUCUCUUUGGGGCCUCAUGUUACGCAGCUGCAACCUACUUGCAACCUUGGGGCCAACGUCCGCGACAUCAUGCCUUGUUGAUUGGUGGGCCAACACCAUCAAUGUUGCGUCCAACAAGAUGGGAUGGAACGACAUCGUGGUGGUCUGGUGAUUCACCUAGAAAGAAAGAAAUGCAAGAAUUUUCAGGCACGUGAUAUGAUAUCCCCUAUCAAUAAUGGAUUCAACUCAAUGCAUGAUGAAGUAUUGAUUUGGUCCCAGGCGAGUCGCCGCAAGAUCAUGUCCCCACCAGAGCGACCACUAGAGUCGGAAUGAUCACCUCACAUCUGCUGAUGUUGUUUGCAGCGCAA